rnacentral:rRNA from 1 species
UAGUGAGUUUGAUCCUGGCUCAGGGUGAACGCUGGCGGCGUGCCUAAUACAUGCAAGUCGAGCGCAGGAAGCUCACGGAACUCUUCGGAGGGAAGUGAAGGGAAUGAGCGGCGGACGGGUGAGUAACACGUAAGGAACCUGCCCCAAGGAUUGGGAUAACUCCGAGAAAUCGGAGCUAAUACCGAAUAGUUCUUCAGACCGCAUGGUCUGAUGAUGAAAGGCGCUCCGGCGUCACCUUGGGAUGGCCUUGCGGUGCAUUAGCUAGUUGGUGGGGUAAUGGCCCACCAAGGCGACGAUGCAUAGCCGA